ACAGUAAUGUUGAGGUUUGCCUUAAGGCAGCUAGAAAUCUUGACUGUUCAAGAUUUCAUGUUGUUCUGAAGCAGGUAUAACCCUUUCUUCUUACAGUCCCACUGAGACCUCUGGAAAAAGCAAGAGAAGAAAAGAGGGCCUGAUUUUUGUGGAUUUCUGUAGCAUUACCAAGAAAUUACCAUUUACUCUGGGAGUGAAAUGAGGAAAGCCACAAAAAUAAUGGGAUGGCAAUGAGAAACUUGCAGUAACUCCUCAAAAUUGAUCAGUAAGUUUGAGAAUUCUGUUCUUGGUCAAUAACUUAAACCAUAGAAGACCACCACAAUAUAAUUCAU
rnacentral:lncRNA from 1 species